rnacentral:misc_RNA from 1 species
AAGUCGUAACAAGGUUUCCGUAGGUGAACCUGCGGAAGGAUCAUUAUCACGUAUCCACGUAUAAACCAUUGCGAACUGUGUCUACCUUUGGAGGGAACUGUGUGAUGUACUGUAUUUUGUGAUUUAAGCAGUCUUCACAUGCUCUACUGUUCUCUCUGAAGUGUAGUUUUAAAUCACUUUCAUUAACCCUUUAAACCUUAUUCUUUUAAAACUCUGAACUAAUUCAUUUCUUACUCUUCGGAGAAGAAAUAUUAUUACGAAACUAAAGAACAACUCUUAGCAACGGAUAUCUUGGUUCUC